rnacentral:piRNA from 1 species
UGGGCUAAUAAUUUUUUUUUCUUCAAACAG